rnacentral:misc_RNA from 1 species
UAUAUAUAUAUAUGUAUAUAUAUUUUCUUUCUAAAUGACCAGCCUUCAUGUGUACUUGUGAAACCCAAGAAUCAUUGGCCUUGUACCUAAUUAGGGAUACAUGUACCCAAAACCUGUGGAAAAGGGUCUUGGAUCUUCUUCUUAUCUAAAGACAAUAAUGAAAUGUACCAAAAUAAUUAUGGAAAAUUUAAUUAUUUUCUACUGCUUUUAAUAUUAAUAAAAUCAUUAAUUUGCAAAAAAAAAAAAAAAA